CAGUGCCUGCGGGGCGUCGGGUCACACCGGCGCACCGCAAACUGGCCACCCGUGUCUACCUUACCUCUGUUGCUUUGGCGGGCCCGUCCACCACCGGACCGCCGGGGAAGCGUUCCAACGCGCCCCUGGCCGGUGCCCGCCAAGGGACCCUCAGAACUCCUGUGAAGCAGUGCCGUCUGAGUCGAUAUUUAAUCGAAUA
rnacentral:misc_RNA from 1 species